rnacentral:rRNA from 1 species
UGCAAGUCGAGCGCAGGUAACCAGAUGACCCCUUCGGGGUGAUUCUGGCGGAAUGAGCGGCGGACGGGUGAGUAACACGUGGGCAACCUGCCUGUAAGACUGGGAUAACUUCGGGAAACCGGAGCUAAUACCGGAUAGUAUUUCCUUUCUCCUGAUUGGAAAUGGAAAGACGGUUUCGGCUGUCACUUACAGAUGGGCCCGCGGUGCAUUAGCUAGUUGGUGGGGUAAUGGCCCACCAAGGCGACGAUGCAUAGCCGACCUGAGAGGGUGAUCGGCCACACUGGGACUGAGACACGGCCCAGACUCCUACGGGAGGCAGCAGUAGGGAAUCUUCCGCAAUGGACGAAAGUCUGACGGAGCAACGCCGCGUGAGCGAUGAAGGCCUUCGGGUCGUAAAGCUCUGUUGUUAGGGAAGAACAAGUACGAGAGUAACUGCUCGUACCUUGACGGUACCUAACCAGAAAGCCCCGGCUAACUACGUGCCAGCAGCCGCGGUAAUACGUAGGGGGCAAGCGUUGUCCGGAAUUAUUGGGCGUAAAGGGCUCGUAGGCGGUUUCUUAAGUCUGAUGUGAAAGCCCACAGCUCAACUGUGGAGGGUCAUUGGAAACUGGGGAACUUGAGUGCAGAAGAGGAGAGUGGAAUUCCACGUGUAGCGGUGAAAUGCGUAGAUAUGUGGAGGAACACCAGUGGCGAAGGCGACUCUCUGGUCUGUAACUGACGCUGAGGAGCGAAAGCGUGGGGA